UCCGGUUUGUCACCGGCAGUCUCCUUAGAGUUCCCAGCAUAACCUGAUGGCAACUAAGGACAAGGGUUGCGCUCGUUACGGGACUUAACCCAACAUAUCACGACACGAGCUGACGACAGCCAUGCAGCACCUGUCACUCGGUUCCCGAAGGCACUCCCGCAUCUCUGCGGGAUUCCGAGGAUGUCAAAGGCAGGUAAGGUUCUUCGCGUUGCAUCGAAUUAAACCACAUGCUCCACCGCUUGUGCGGGCCCCCGUCAAUUCCUUUGAGUUUUAACCUUGCGGCCGUACUCCCCAGGCGGGGUGCUUAAUGCGUUAGCUUCGGCACGGAGCGGGUUGAAGGCCGCCCCACACCUAGCACCCAACGUUUACGGCGUGGACUAC
rnacentral:misc_RNA from 1 species